rnacentral:rRNA from 1 species
UGGGGAAUUUUGGACAAUGGGCGCAAGCCUGAUCCAGCCAUGCCGCGUGCGGGAAGAAGGCCUUCGGGUUGUAAACCGCUUUUGUCAGGGAAGAAAUCUUCUGAGUCAAUACCUCGGGAGGAUGACGGUACCUGAAGAAUAAGCACCGGCUAACUACGUGCCAGCAGCCGCGGUAAUACGUAGGGUGCAAGCGUUAAUCGGAAUUACUGGGCGUAAAGCGUGCGCAGGCGGUUUUGUAAGACAGAGGUGAAAUCCCCGGGCUCAACCUGGGAACUGCCUUUGUGACUGCAAGGCUUGAGUGCGGCAGAGGGGGGAUGGAAUUCCGCGUGUAGCAGUGAAAUGCGUAGAUAUGCGGAGGAACACCGAUGGCGAAGGCAAUCCCCUGGGCCUGCACUGACGCUCAUGCACGAAAGCGUGGGGAGCAAACAGGAUUAGAUACCCUGGUAGUCCACGCCCUAAACGAUGUCAACUGGUUGUUGGGAAGGUUCCUUCUCAGUAACGUAGCUAACGCGUGAAGUUGNCCGCCUGGGGAGUACGGCCGCAAGGUUGAAACUAAAGGAAUUGACGGGG